CCCUCACACACAAGUACCCCCCUCUCUCUCUCUCGCAAAUCCUAAGUCUCGCCGUCACCCUCGCACGCAACGUCGCUUUCUUCACUUUUACUUUUACUUCGAGGGAGGCCCAAUUCUCGAGGCCCGGCAGAGGGAGCCGAGGAGGCCGCCAAUCCUGCCCGUGCGGCCGUAGAUGAGGAAGUUUAGGGGCUGGGCCGGUGUGGCGCCCUUGGCUGGGAAGCCCCAACACAUAUUUCCUACAUCUGGAGCUGCUUAAUUUUAUGAUUAUUGCAAUCUCAACUUAGCUUCUUUGUGGGCCAUCUCCUAGACCGAAUGAUAUGAACCCAUUUCUUGGUGCGGCAAUGGCUCAGCAAAUAUUGUGUUAUUUCCAUUCAGUUAUUUGAUCAAUUCAAGCAGUGAAGGUUCAAGAAAUCCAAUAGCAGAUAGCAGUCUUCAAGUGCUUCUUGUUCUCAUUCAUUAUCAUAAAUGUCUUGUGAGUGAGGGCUACUCUGUCCUAAAGAAUCAAGUAUCUGCCUCUUCAGAUUCUUUACCAAAAGAGAAUACAUAUUUUUCUAACAACCCUUACUGCAGGGCCUUAGAGCGUGCAACUGAUUGUGAAUUGGAUUGUGUAGAUUUAGAGGGUAAUGCACACAGUGACCAACUUGUAAAAUUGCCUUUUGCACCGUUGUUUGAUACCCUUGGCAUCCUCAUACUAGAUGAACAAAUUUGGUGUUGAUUUAUUCUGUUGAUCACACUAGCAACUCUAUCCAGCAACAUCACAACCAAGAAUGUUGUGUCCUAUUGAAAUUUUAGGCAAAGGGAGCAAAAAAGUACUUGGAAUGAUUUGCAAUGGCCCAACCAGGCUUCAGCGUUUGCUCACUCUCCUAGAGACUGGGUCAACCCAAGCAACAAGGUUGACUGCUGCUCGUCAGAUAGCAAAAUCACACCCUCAACACUUGACCAGUCUUCUUAAGAAGCUUUGAUAUGAACAAGGUGCUUGAAUUUGGAGCCUUAUUAGCAUCAGGAGGACAGGAACUAGACAAUACAUGUCACGAAAACAAUUGGGUUCUACCAGCUUAUCAUUUAUACCAUGCAGAUGGUAAGACUAUCAAAUUUAGCCAAAAUACAUGAGCAGCAUAAAUUCUCUUCAUGAAUCAAGUUAUGGACUAUUAAAUUUAAUUUAAUUAGGUAUAAUUAGGAUUUAACCAUUGCACUUUUUUGUUGACCUUAUUAAUGGCCAGCAGUUAUUCAUGUGUCAAUUGUAAUUUGCGUGAAAUGAUCUCAUUAAUUGUGCACAAGUGUGUGCAUAUAUUAUUUGAGAGUUCUCCGUAAUUUAAUUUGACUUCUUUAAUUUUACUUCUUGGAUAAGAUAUUUCAAAUAACUUACAAUAUUCCAUAUGCCUUAAUUUC